rnacentral:rRNA from 1 species
GACGUAGGGCGCGAGCGUUUGUCCGGAUUUAUUGGGCGUAAAGAGCUCGUAGGCGGCUUGUUGCGUCAGCUGUGAAAACCCAGGGCUCAACCCUGGGCCUGCAUUCGAUACGGGCAGACUAGAGUUCGGUAGGGGAGACUGGAAUUCCUGGUGUAGCGGUGAAAUGCGCAGAUAUCAGGAGGAACACCGGUGGCGAAGGCGGGUCUCUGGGCCGAAACUGACGCUGAGGAGCGAAAGCGUGGGGAGCAAACAGG